ensembl:misc_RNA 7SK 7SK RNA
AGAUGUGAGCGAUAUCUGGUUGCUAUGGCUGUUACCCCACUGAUGGCUAAUGUGGCUGGCUAGUCAGCACUCCACAUGUGUAUGUGUGAUCCUCCUGAAGCUUUGUGCUCAGUUGAGGAUGACUACCCUUGAAAGAGGAUGAUGGUUCUUCGGUCAAGGGUAUAUGAGUAGCUCCUCUCUUUUGCUAGAAUCUCCACACGUGCUCUCAAGAAUGAGUCUCUAAAAAAACAAAAGUCCCUAUGGCUUUUGCUGUGUUGGCUUUGGGAAGGCUCAAUCCCUG